CAGUCGCCACGGUAAUACGGAGGGGGCUAGCGUUGCUCGGAAUUAUUGGGCGUAAAGGGUGCGUAGGCGGCUUGACAAGUCUUGUGUGAAAUCUAUGGGCUCAACCCAUAGUCUGCACGGGAAACUGUCGGGCUUGAGAAUGGGAGAGGUGAGUGGAAUUUCCGGUGUAGCGGUGAAAUGCGUAGAUAUCGGAAGAAACACCUGUGGCGAAAGCGGCUCACUGGACCAUUUCUGACGCUGAUGCACGAAAGCUAGGGGAGCAAACAGGAUUAGAUACCCCAGUAGUCCCUGUCUCUUAUAC
rnacentral:rRNA from 1 species